rnacentral:rRNA from 1 species
CUACAGGGGUUUCUAAUCCCGUUCGCUCCCCUGGCUUUCGCGCCUCAGCGUCAGAAGAGGUCCAGCGCGCCGCUUUCGCCACCGGUGUUCCUUCCGAUAUCUACGCAUUUCACCGCUCCACCGGAAGUUCCGCACGCCCCUACCUCCCUCGAGGCCACCAGUAUCAGAGGCACUUCCCCAGUUGAGCUGGGGGCUUUCACCCCUGACUUGAUGGCCCGCCUACGCGCCCUUUAAGCCCAGUGAUUCCGAAUAACGUUCGCUCGGUUCGUCUUACCGCGGCUGCUGGCAC